AGAAUAUUGCACAAUGGACGAAAGUCUGAUGCAGCGACACCGCGUGAAGGAUGAAGGCCCUAGGGUUGUAAACUUCUUUUAUUAGGGAAUAGCAAGGAAGGUACCUAAUGAAUAAGCAACGGCUAACUACGUGCCAGCAGCCGCGGUAAUACGUAGGUUGCAAACGUUGUCCGGAAUCACUGGGCGUAAAGGGUCCGUAGGCGGUUUGAUAAGUCUCAUAUGAAAGCUUCAAGCUCAACUUGGAGAUGUUGUGAGAUACUGUCAGACUAGAGACUGUUAGAGGUAAGUGGAAUUCCAGGUGUAGUGGUGAAAUGCGUAGAUAUCUGGAGGAACACCAGUGGCGAAAGCGACUUACUGGGACAGUUCUGACGCUAAGGGACGAAAGCGUGGGGAGCGAACCGGAUUAGAUACCCGGGUAGUCCACGCUGUAAACGAUGAUUGCUAGGUUUUCGGGGCAUCGACCCCUCGUGAGCCGAAGUUAACGCGUUAAGCAAUCCGCCUGAGUAGUACGGCCGCAAGGCUAAAACUCAAAGGAAUUGACGGGGGACCGCACAAGCAGCGGAGCGUGUGGUUUAAUUCGAUGGUAAGCGAAGAACCUUACCAGGGUUUGACAUGUAAGUAGUACUGAACCGAAAGGGGAUGGACCCGCAAGGGAGCUUACACAGGUGUUGCAUGGUUGUCGUCAGCUCGUGCCGUGAGGUGUUGGGUUAAGUCCCGCAACGAGCGCAACCCUCUUUGUUAGUUGCACUCUCUAACGAUACUGCCCUUAAAAGGGAGGAAGGUGGGGAUGACGUCAAAUCAUCAUGGCUCUUACACCCUGGGCUACACACACGCUACAAUGGCAAGUACAGACGGUCGCCAACCCGCGAGGGGGAGCUAAUCCGAUAAAACUUGUCUCAGUUGGGAUUGCAGGCUGAAAUUCGCCUGCAUGAACGUGGAGUUGCUAGUAAACGCAGGUCAGCACACUGCGUUGAAUACGUUCCCGGUCCUUGUACACACCGCCCGUCACAUCAUGGAAGUUGGUAACACUUGAAGUCAUUGCGCUAACCCUUUUGGGAGGCAGAUGCCGAGAGUGGGACUGAUGACUGGGAUGAAGUCGUAACAAGGUAGCUGUACCGGAAGGUGCGGCUG
rnacentral:rRNA from 1 species